GCUCCUAUAGCUCAAUUGGCAUAGAGCUUCAUACUUAUGAUUACGUGAUCUUGACGUGCGUACAUUAUGUGAGGGUUGCGAGUUCGAGUCUCGCUAGGAGCA
rnacentral:tRNA from 1 species